AAUAAAUAAAUAAAUAAAUAAAGCUUCAAACUACAAAGGGUCAAUAUCUGACCUUUUCUAUACUAACAUGGCUUUGAAGAAUCAAUAUUUUUCAUUUUCUUUACCUAAAAGGAAAGCACUACGAAGCACCAUGUUAGUACCCAGAGACAUGCUGUCUGGAUCUAUUACUGUGGUUGUAUUCCUAAAGUACACUUUCAUAUUAAUAAUUUAAAAAGCAUUCUCAAUAUUUUUUUUAGAAAUACUUCUCUUUUAAGCAAGAAAAAUAAAAUCAUGAAAAUAAUUAGAUUUUCAGAUAAAAUAAGAACUCUGCCACAGCUGUAGAAUAUGAAACAUUUGUUUAACAAUUAUAACAAGGAAAUGUAUAGGAAUAGUGUACUCAGUUGCUACUGAAUGAUUGAUGGACAUUGCUUGAAAAUAUACUAUUAGAUAUUCAGGAACAAUUAGAUUUAACCCACAAAUUGAAUCAUCUUUGGAAAGAAACUGCUCCCAGUUUUAGGGAAACUUAUCUGUCUGUCUUAUCAAAUGUCGUUCUUCUCACAGAGUCAUCUUUCCAAAGUAAACAGGAAUGGAAUGCUAUGUGAACAUUUUUCCUAUUAUGUAAGUCAAUUCACUAGCAUUGGAGAACCACUUGACACAAUGUGAUGGUUAAUUUAGAGUACAAAAUGGUGUAGACACUAUGAUCCCAUUUGUUAAAUACUUGUAUAUAAAUUUAUAUGUGUGUAUUUUGGAUAGGUGUGCACAAAAUAUUUACUCUUUGUAUCUGGUUUGCAACACAGAAUUUUAUUUUACAUUUUAUGAUUUUUUUAUAGUCUAAAUUUUAUACAAUGAGUAUAUGUGCACACACACAUACAUAAUUUUAUUAUAAAAGCCAAUAUGCUUUCAAGAAUAAAAAAAUAGAUAGCUUUCAGAAAGAGGCAGAUUUUAAGCCAAUUAUAAUUAUCAUGAUAAUCAAAUGAAUAAUAUUAUAAUUUGUAUUUUGACCAUAUUUUUCCAAUAUGUAAUAUUUAGUAAUGUGAACAUUUUCUGGAUUUGGCAGAAGUCACAGAUACAUGAUCUCUUCUAUAUUCUGCCUACAGUCUAGGUACUAAUCAGAUGAUUAGCAUUUCAAUGGUAUAGCAAAAGCAAGUUGAUUAGAUUUAUCUCAUAUAUAUGAAACUAAGAAAACUAGGGAGAUGCAAUUUAAUAACAAAUACUACUUAAAUGUGUGUAGUGAUGUAGUUAACACAGAUUCAUUGUCUUUAUUUACCACACCAAAGCCAUGAAAUGUCCCAGAAAAAACAAAAUUAAUUCUUUUUAAAUAACAUUUUUGAAUAUUUUUGAUACCUCCUAAAUUAUACAUUCUUUAUGAGUGCCUUGCUAAAUUUUUAACAUCUGGGAAAUACUGAUCAUUUUACUUAUUAACCAUUAUCUUGUUUUGUCUUAGGUAGCAUUUGAGCACAUACUGAACACUGUAAUUUAUCAAUUUUUAAUAUGUCCCCAAAUGGUUUCAAAACAAUAAAUUAUCCUGGCACAAACCAAAUGGCUCCCUUAUAUCUCACUUUUCAUCAGACUCUAAACUUCAGCAGCUCCUUUUCUUUCCCUUUCCCAUUCUCGCAGUAGUGAUGAUAAUAAAGGGAGAAGGAGACGAGAAAGGAAAAAAGGCAGAAGAGGAGGAGGAAAAAUAUGGAGAAGGAGGUGGAGGAGGAGAAAUGGGAAGGAAAAGAGGAAGAAAAAGGAGGAAAAAGAAUGAAGAGAAAAAGAGAAAGAAAAAGAAAAAAUAUUUAAUGAAAUAUGCCUGUCGUGAUAUCAGGCUAUUUAUAGAAAAUAUGUUGUUCAGUCCACAUAAUAGCCAUGUGCAGAUUGCAUUCAUUUUUGCAUUUACCUGUGAGAAAAUCAACAUUCACAGAGAAGCUAAGUAACUUGGUAAAGUUCACACAUAAUAGCUAAAACCUCAAUCAGAGCCUAGGUUUUCUGACUCCCAAAUACUUCGCACUUUAUUGCCUUGAAUUUUGCCUUCUCUCCCCUCCACCCCUCCCUUACUUUCUGAACACCAACUUUCACUAAUGUGAGCUACCCUCCGGGAAUAACACAGUCACAGGCUCACCCUCUAUAAAAUGACUCUUUCCUUCUAUUCUGAAUUUCCAUUUUACAUAGAUGCUGGAAAUAUUUUGUUGUUUAAACUAUAAAAUAUUUGUGCAUUUUUGGACAUAUUUUAAGCAAAAUAAAAUAUUAAAAAAUACUCACUUUCAAAUUCAUUUUUACAUUUUUCAUGUUUACAAAUAAACCUGACAAUGCUUAACAGAGAAUUUAAUCUCCAAUUAAUGAUGCAAGAUAAAACGGUCAAUUGAGGUAAUUAAUUCCCUGUGUAAUUUAUGUGAAAAUUAUUUUAGUCUUCUGGGGGUCAAGUUUAAGGGAAACUUGAUUAAAUUCAUUACCCAUUCACUUAAUUCUCUGAAUUCCAUAUUUUAAUGUGUAAUUUUUUUUAAUUUUAGACAAUUAUGAAAAAGACAAAUGUUGAAUAUAAAAUCAAUGCAAAAUGAAGUCAUACAGAUUUUUCUAUGAAAACAGCACUAAUUCAACUCCCAACUUUCAUUCAGUUCUUUAAGUCCCCUCUCAGUAUUCCAGUGCAUCAAGAAUUUGUUGAUUUAAUUUUCUUGAAGAACUUGAAAACUCUUGAAGAACUCCCAGAGGCUUCUGACUUUCCCUAGACCAAACUACGCCUGCUCUAAGUCUGGCGAAAAAUGAAUGGGCUUUCAGAAAUCAACUUUAUGAAGAAUUCCAAAAGAUAACCACAAAAAGAAUAGAAGAUGCCCUGGAGUGUCAAAACUGACAGUGUCUCCACUGUGGUUGUGCAGUAAAUAAUCCUCACAUGAUACCUCUCAAAUGAAUGCAAAGGGAAAGACAGUGGUUGAAGAAAUUAAAAAGUAUAUAAAGACUACCAGUUCCCAGCCUUCUUCCACUUGGACAGAGCCAUGCCACUGAGGUCUAGUGGAGCCUAAAUAAUUGGAAGUGGCCAAGGCAGGCUCUUAGUGUCUAAGGGCCCUGUUUUGCACACUCACUGAUCAGGAAAAGGUGAUAAAUACCUGAAAGACCUCUGAUGCUUCUCAUAGCCCUGUAAUAUAGCCUCUUGUAAACAGAAUUUAAGCCAUGUAUCGGGAUAUACUGUGAUUGCAGAAAUGAUAACAUACAUCAUUAGACUGAGAAAGGAGACUCAUCUAAGCAACUGAGAAGAAGAGUGGAAAAGAAUGAAAUAAAAGAAACAACUGUCAUCCAAUAUGUUAACCUCAAAUAUGAGAAAAUUAAUAUUUAUAAUGAAUAAAGAACCAAUAUAUUUGUGUGAG